rnacentral:lncRNA from 1 species
GUGAUGUUAAAAAGAAAUAUUUUUUAUACGUAUUAUUGUUAAAUGUAAAUAUUAUUUGUUGGAGAUAUUUAUUAUUGUUCCGUUUUUUAACAUGAAUUUGUUAGCAUUCCAAAUGUUGUAUAAUUAGUGUGACCUAUUGACCUCCCAUAAUAUAUACAGAGACAUAUUGUUUGCCAAAGCUUUGUACAUUUACCUCCGCAGUCAUUUCAAAGUAUCUCUGGCUUGCUUCAUCAUGUGUAUCAUAAAAUAUUACCCAAGAAUGCAGUCAACAAUUUAUAUAUGAUUUCAUCAGGUGCUAAAUUUCUUAUUUGCUUAUUCUCUUUUACUUUGUUUUAUGUUUCUAACUGAAAUGUUUUCUUAUUAGGAAUACUCAGUUACACAGUGUAGAUACUAUUCUGUACUCUAUCCGGAAGUCGCGAUUUUCGAAGCGAUCAUUUCCAACUGGCUAACAGGACGGUUUUGUGCUUACGGUGACUUUUCUCAUCAUUUGUUUAAUCCUAUAUCUAUAAAGUGCUUUGAACAUCUUCAAGGUAUGUAUAGCAUCUUAAAUAUGAGUAACGGUAACAAAAACAUGCAUUAGAAUAUAAAAUAUACGUGUGCAUCACACCAACUUGACAUAAAAAAGUGAAAUCGAUGGAAAAUUUUGCUCUCUUAGUACAAAGC